AAACAGAAACAACAAAAAAAGAGAAAUGAUUUAAAAAUAUUUUUAAGCUCUUCAAGAAAUUCUUUAUGAUCCUGAGAUUAACUGAAAUUGUUCCUUGAAGCUUCACAUGGUCACAGAGCCUGGCCAGUUGCCUGCUGCACUGAUAAGCUGAGGACUCUCAGGUGGCCUCUGGUUUGCUGUAUCAAGAUAUGGGUAUCAGUUGCUGAUCUAUGCUAGGCCUCAAGAUAUUCCAUUGACUUGCUAGCAUGUACGGCUGCUGCUGGCUUUCCUGGAUAUUUCCUGUACUGCACUAUGUUCCCCUUUUAACCAAUUUGUUUUUGAGGUGAUACUGCAUAGCUGUUUAAAGCUGAAUGUGGGAAAGUUCAGUUGAGUUCCUGCCACAUUGUCUCAAGCCCUACAGCUCCCCCAAAAGCUACAUUUCUAGUAGAAGAAAAAUGAUAUUUAAACUGUUUCCAAGACUUUUUAGCAGAGUUCUAUCUACCAGUCCAAAGAAAGUGACUUUAUCAGUCAUGUAGUUUAAUCACAUUUGUUCAUCUCCUCAUUCUGCUUUCUUAAACAGAAUAAAGAACAAUAAGUGAGAACUUAGAACUUUCCAAAUCAAUGAGUUUUAUUUUGUAACUUUUAAGUGAUUGGAAGAAGGAAGGAACUGAAAGAGAUAUUCAGCACAUUUAUAUGAUAAAAGUAAAUAUCACAUAAAAUGGAGUCAGGUUUUUUUUCUUAAAGUUAUACUUAUAAUAAUUAUUACCUUCUUGCUUUGUGAUAGCCCCAGUGAUAAGUGUAGGGGGACAUCAGUACAAAAGAUAUGAUUAUACUUCCAGAAUUAAAGAAGGAAAGAACUCAAGGAAAAUAUGACAUAAAAAUGGCCAGAGAUCAGCAGUUGAAGAGUCUGAGUUGGGUUAGUCAUGGGAAACUUUCUGCAAUCAGGAGAGUAGAGCCUCUGGGUAGGAUCUAGAAAGCCGAAUCUGAGGCAGGACAUUAAGUAUGAAG